GAUGAACGCUGGCGGCGUGCCUAAUACAUGCAAGUCGAGCGAACAGACGCGGCGCUUGCUCCUCUGACGUUAGCGGCGGACGUGUGUGUAACACGUGGAUCACCUACCUAUCUGACUGAGAUAUCUUCGGGACUCCGGCGAUAAUACCGGAUAAUCUAUUGCAGCGCAUGGUUCAAUGGUAAGAUUCGGUUUUUCUGUCACUUCUCGCUGGUUACGCGCUGCAUUGGGUAGUUGGUAAGGUCACGGCUUACCAAGGGGACGAUGCGUAGACGACCUGAGGGGGGGAUCGGCCACACUGGAACUGGGACAGGGUCCAGACUACUACGAGAGGCAGCAGUAGGCAAUCUGCCGCAGUGGGCGAAAGCCUUACGGAGCAACGCCGCGUGAGUGAUGAAGGUCUUCGGAUCGGGAAACCCGGUUAUUAGUGAAGAACAAAUGUGGAAUGAACCAUGCACGUCGUGACGGUACCUAAUCAGAAAGCCACGGCUAACUACGUG
rnacentral:rRNA from 1 species